rnacentral:lncRNA from 1 species
AGUCACCUCCCUCGCUGUCCUCUCCAAGCUGUGCCCCUGGUCCCCGAGCUCCUUUAAGGAUCGCUGGUACCCGACGCAGCUCUCGCGUCUAAACGGCACGGCGGGCGCUCCACAGUUGGCACCCCCGUGGCCUCGGGAGCUCAGGAGGAGCUGCUGCCCAAACAGGAGGAGCCCUCGCCAAACCUGGGGGUCAGAAAGGGAACUCACAUUUAUAGUUCCGGCUGCGAGCCAGGCCUGCUGGCCACUUACUGAGCAGUGUUUUAUUUAAGCCUCACCACAGUCCCAGAUUGGAAUUGCUGUCUUCGGUGAAGACUAGGGCACCGGCGCUGGGAGGUGAAGUCACUUGCCUGCGAUGCCUCACCCAGUCCCUAGCUGAGCGGGUUUAAACCCAGGUCUUCAGGAUUCCGAGUCCUGCAGGCUUUCCGCUCAGAGCCCGGAGCCCGGCCACCGGUUCUACCACUUGAGUCUCCCAUGCGCAAGGCACUAGACCUUUCUGAGCCCCAGUUCCCUCGCCUGUAUCAUUAAAACGUACUGCCACCUGAGCAUGUGUGAAGAUUUAGCAAAUACCAGAACACACCGUGCAAACUGUAAAGUACAGUUCACAUACCAUUGGGUGCAGUUUAUGUCCCAGGCGUUGGAUGUUGGCCAGUGCCCAUAGGAAUAGGGGCCAGCCUGUCCUCCAGCCCUGGCGUUGCAGGAGGCAGAGGGUCAGGUAAUAAUUACAAGGAGGAGGGCGGGAGCAUAACCCUGCCUGGUGAGGCUCGCAUUUUCCUGGAAGGACGGGUUGGUCUCUCAGCUGAGGGCCCAGGACACAGUAGAGCCUGCAGAGAGCAGGGCCCCUGGGCGGGGAGGCAGGUAGGUUAGGGAUUAGAGGGGAGACUGGAGGGUGUGUGGCACCAAAUAUCCUACCAAGGCCGUUGGGCAUUAUCCUAGAGGCGGUAGCCACGGGGUAUUCUGAGCAAGAUGAUCUGAUGUGCUCAAAAAGACCCCGGGGGCAGCAACCUGGAGGAGAGGGAGGUGGGCCACGGGAGCUGCGAGCGGCUGUGGCAGUAUGCGCGGUGAGGGGGCCUUGGGAGCAGGGACAGAGAAGAGGGGGCCGACUCGCAAAAAUAGGAGGAAAAAAUCGACUCCAAAGUCUGUGAUCUUAACCACAGAUUUACCCUACUUAGCCAUCUCCUUCAAAAAAUGCAGGAUGAACCCUUUUGUUGUAAUCCCUACGUCAGGAGAGCCCUGCCCCGAAGUCGUCCUGCCUCGCCCUGGCUGAGCUCUGGGGGCACUGAGACCUCGCCUGCUCUGCUGCUGUUGUGGUCUUUGUGAGUCGUUUUUCUGGGAAUGCCUCUGAAUGGGAGACAGCACGCACGAAAUCCAAUCUCUACGAAAUCCAAUUCCUUAAUCUCCUUUGAGGCUAAUGCCCUAGCCGUUUCUCCAGCGUUGGGAGAAGGACACUGUUGGCUCCACGGUGGGCGUGGAUGACGGCACACCUCGAAAGGCUUGAGAGGUGUUGGCCACCGCUCGCGCCGGGCCUGCUGUCCCCAGAGGGCCCUCUAGCUCUGCCCUUCCGUGGGAGGGGGCCCGCGGUCGGGCCAGAGCACAACUGACCUCUGCCUAGAACUUCCUCCAGAGGCUCUGAAGCCUCCCACACCCUCACAUUUCCGAAGAAUUAUGGCCAGGACUCUCAGCACAAGCUUGCCAGCUUCUCAUACCAUAUACACUCAAAGAAAGGGCCCCCCAAAAAAGUUUCAAUACGCUAGUCUUCUAAAGACAGUAGCUUGAUGACUAUAGGAUUUGCAGCCAGCUUCUCUUUCUUUCAGGUAAUAAGUCAGAUAAAAUUCAUCCUCCUUACUACUUAUUAUUAGCCUGGCAAAUGAGACUACUAGCCCUUUGUAAGGAAGUAUUCAAUCAAUGCUUUCUCUUUUUUUUUCUUUUUUCUUCCUUUUUUUUUUUAAGAGAUGGGGUCUUGCUAUGUUGCCCAGACUGAAGUCAAACUUCCUGGGCUUAAGCCAUCUUCCCACCUCAGCCUCCCAAGUAGCUGGGACUACAGGCAUGCACCACCCAGCCCAGCCAAUAAUGCCUUCUUUGUUUUCCAGUAUUCAGUGAGUUACAGGUAUAAAGAGAUAUCUGAUUGCAUAAUAGAUGUUUUUUAAAGUCACUCAAAAAAAAAAAGAAAAGAAAAGAAAAAGAAAAAGUGGUCCAGGCGUGGUGGCUCACGCCUGUAAUCCCAGCAUUUUGGGAGGCCAAGGUGGGCAGAUAGCUUGAGCUCAGGAGUUGGAGAUCAGCCUGGGCAACAUGGCAAAAUCCUGUCUCUACC